AAACAAAAUGGCUUUGUCAAAGUUUCAACUUGCAGCCCUUCUGUUCAUCACAUAUUCUCUCCUAUUUACUUCUCAGGUGUUAAAGGCAGACGACAUCAGACCUGGAGUAUGUAAUUUUAGAGGUUCAUGCCAUAUUGACGACGACUGUAGGAAACGAUGUGGACCGCCUAAGUUCCCAGAUGAUACUACGGGUAUGUGCAUGGGCAAUCCUCUUGGUACCGGAGAUCUCUGUUGUUGUAGUUUUGGUACUUAAAAUAUUAAUAUCAUCAUUGUAACUAAUAUCAUCAUCAUUAUAAUAAAGUGGAGUACAAUAUCAUUUCUACAA